AGAGGCCACAAUCUUAAUGUUCUUCCUCAAGUAUCAGCUACUUCAUUUAGAGGUCCUACAAGCUAUGCCUCACAGAGCAAUGUGAAUCCAUCUCAGGAUGGUAUGGAUAUUGGAGUUAGGCAUCUGGGAUCUAUCCAGCCAACUGGCCUUAGGAUAUACAGACCUCACCAUGAGGGAGUUAUAUCUGAGACAGCUAUAAGACACCGCAAUGUUCCUCA
rnacentral:misc_RNA from 1 species